ACUUUUUCAUAGCAAAAUUCCUGCAAGGCUGCUCCUGCUUUAUGGAAAAGGUUCAGAACCAUACCUGGAAGGUUAUCCAAAAACUCCAAAGAGGAAAUAAUCAAUCUAUUUUUAUAAGUCUUCCAACUCAACUUUGUCUACUUAAGAAAAAUCAGUCUCACUCCAAAUGAGAUUUAUUGAAAUGUUCCUAAAAUGCCUCCAAUUUACCUAUCACAUGUGAAACAUUAUUCAAAAUGUGGAAGUGGUUUGUGGAGAUGGGUCUUUUCAAUUUAAGCCUGCUUGUACAGUCUUCACUGGGAUCGUGUGACUGCAGACCCUGGUUUCAUGAGCAACUGUUUCAUUUCACACUUUCCAGACAGCAUUUCACACUUGCAUAUGAGCUGCAGCCUUUCCAAAAGUUGGGGAAAUCCUGCAAAGAAGGAACAUGGCAUCUGAUUCUUGGAAUAACAUUCUGUCUACACUCUUCCAGCUGCUGUGGAUACAUGUAAUGACUGAUUUUAUUUAAUAAGAAAGCUCAAAAUGUUUCCCAAUUCGGAACAUAACCCUGCAUGCUGUUCCCUCUAGUCUAACCAGAAAUCCCAUUCUCCUCCUCCUCUAACUCAAUAAACCAAAUCUAAUUGGAGAAUAAUUAUAAAAUACACUGAUGUGCAAUUUGUUUCACUUGCUCAAUAAUUAAUUAAUACACUACUUAUGGUUCAAAAGAGCUCUUAAGACACAGCACAAAUUCCACUGGAUGAAGGAGAAUACCAAAGACAGAAGCCAGGGGCAGCAUCUUUACAUAAGAUGGGCCAAGAGGGAGAAGAAGACAA
rnacentral:lncRNA from 1 species